rnacentral:lncRNA from 1 species
AGCAUAAUUCUACAGGCUUAUGUUCUUUGAGAGGCUGUGACUACUUACCAAAUUUCCAUAUCCAGAAGCAGUGGUCUCCAUAAUGCUGAGCAGAAAACAGGAAACUGAGAUCAGGCAAUCCUUACCUGUGCUCUCGCUCAUCUCUUCCCGACCCACCCGGGCCCAGCAGACCUUCGAGCAGAUGGCUCAUUGCCCCGGACCCAGACUGUUGGUAGCAUACCUAAUUUCUUCAGGAUCAAAAACCAGCUGGUAAAAAAUGGGGGUGAUUUUUUCUUUAGGCUACAAUUAGCCUCUAUGUGGACUGGGGGCAGCAGAUCACAGGGGGGAAGAAAGAAAGAAGGAAGAGCCUUUUCCAAACAGGAACUUAAGGCAUAGCUUCAUUAAAAGGAUAUCUUUUGACUGCAUUGAUACUUUAAUUUAUUUCUCCUGAGUGCCAGGGGAAAAAUUCAGCUCCCUGCAACUCUUUAGCCAAAUUUGAGAUUCCUCACUUUGGGGAGGCAACUCAGUGGCUCAGUGAAUUGAGAGCCAAGCCUCGAGACAGGAAGUCCUGGGUUAAAUCUGGUCUCAGACACUUCCUGGUGGUGUGGCCCUGGACAGGUCAUUUAACCCCCAUUGCCUACCACUUACCAAUUUUCUGCCUUCUGACAAUAGGCAUCUAAAUGGAUUAAAAAAGAAAACCCAAGGAACUUUAAAGAGACUGGAAGUUAUAUUUUUAAUGCACUUCAGACUCCAAUGUUUUGUAAAAAUCUCUGUAUUUUAUUGCAUUUUGCUGAUUGUUUUGUUUAAGGUUUAACUUUGUGAUUUUAAGUCCAUAUAUUACUGCAUUCAAUACUAUUCUGUUACACUGAAUCCCUUUAACGUACUAUGUUUUAACUGAUGUUAUAGACUGUUACUUUUCCCCUAUAACCAUAUUGAACAAACAUUAUUGAGUAGGCCCAUAUAAAAACAGCUUUUCUAUUUUUGACUUUUUAAAUUGUCACAUAGAGGAUAGAUGGACUCCAUCAGAAAAUUGCUACAACAACCUUUGGAAAAUUUAAUGAGCUAAAUAUCUCAAAUUGAUUUAAGGGUCCUUUAGACAUGAUUUUUAGAAUUUUUCUUAACAAUCUCUGGUCAUUUUGCCUGCCCCUAACACAAGGUAAGGCCCAUUUUAGUAGCUGAAGUGAAAUACAAUUAUAAACCCCAACUCCCGCAUUUAUAAAAAUAUGAAUGGAAGUUGGGAAGUUAAUCCCAGGGCAUUGUACCCCUAGAAGCCU